rnacentral:tRNA from 1 species
GGAUGGGUAGUCUAGCGGCGAAGGCGGCAGAUUGUAAAUCUGUUACAAGGAAACACCGCAGGUUCGUUCUCCGUUUCACUUC